CUCUUAUCCCGAGCUGGUGGAGGGACAGGCCCUAUGAAACCCAGCAACCUGCUAUCAAAGGAAAGCGGCGAUUAUGCCCAAAUGACAUUUUCCGACGCAAAGGUGCUAACCUGAUGCAAGGCGAAAGCCCUUGAUCGAUAAGAG
rnacentral:ncRNA from 2 species